GAUGAAGAACGUAGCGAAAUGCGAUAAGUAAUGUGAAUUGCAGAAUUCAGUGAAUCAUCGAAUCUUUGAACGCACCUUGCGCCCUUUGACUAUUCCGAAGGGCAUGCCUGUUUGAGUAUCGUGAACACCUCAACUCUCAUGGUUUGCCAUGAUGAGCUUGGACUUUGGGGGUUUUGCUGGCCUUUGGUCGGCUCCUCUCGAACGGAUCAGCUUUCCAGUGUUUGGUGGCGUCACGGGUGUGAUAACUAUCUACGCCUGUGGUUUUCUGCCAGAUAACCUUCAGCGAUGGAGGUUCGCUGGGGCUCAUAAAUGUCUCUCUUCAGUGGAGACAGCUUUUUGGACGUUUGAUCUCAAAUCAGGUAGGACUACCCGCUGAACUUAAGCAUAUCAAUAAGCGGAGGA
rnacentral:misc_RNA from 1 species